AUUCCGGUUGAUCCUGCCGGAGGCUAUUGCUAUCGGGAUCCGAUUCAGUCAUGCUAGUCGCACGGGUUCAGACCCGUGGCGAAUAGCUCCGUAACACGUGGUCAAACUACCCUCUGGACCGGGACACCCUCGGGAAACUGAGGCUAAUCCCGGAUACUGCUUUCACGCUGGAACGCGGAAAGCCGGAAACGGUCCGCCGCCGGAGGACGUGACUGCGGCCGAUUAGGUAGACGGUGGGGUAACGGCCCACCGUGCCGAUAAUCGGUACGGGUUGUGAGAGCGAGAACCCGGAGACGGACUCUGAGACAAGAGUCCGGGCCCUACGGGGCGCAGCAGACGCGAAACCUUUACACUGCACGACAGUGCGAUAAGGGGAUCCCGAGUGCGAGGGCAUACAGUCCUCGCUUUUCGUGACCGUAAGGUGGUCUCAGAAUAAGGGCUGGGCAAGACCGGUGCCAGCCGCCGCGGUAAUACCGGCAGCCCGAGUGAUAGCCACUCUUAUUGGGCCUAAAGCGUCCGUAGCUGGCCGAACGGGUCCGUCGGGAAAUCCACCCGCUCAACGGGUGGGCGUCCGGCGGAAACCAGUCGGCUUGGGACCGGAGGACCUGCGGGGUACGUCCGGGGUAGGAGUGAAAUCCCGUAAUCCCGGACGGACCGCCGGUGGCGAAAGCGCCGCAGGAGGACGGAUCCGACAGUGAGGGACGAAAGCUUGGGUCUCGAACCGGAUUAGAUACCCGGGUAGUCCAAGCCGUAAACGAUGCUCGCUAGGUGUGGCGCAGGCUACGAGCCUGCGCUGUGCCGUAGGGAAGCCGAGAAGCGAGCCGCCUGGGAAGUACGUCCGCAAGGAUGAAACUUAAAGGAAUUGGCGGGGGAGCACUACAACCGGAGGAGCCUGCGGUUUAAUUGGACUCAACGC
rnacentral:rRNA from 1 species